rnacentral:misc_RNA from 1 species
GAUGAAGAACGUAGCGAAAUGCGAUAAGUAGUGUGAAUUGCAGAAUUCAGUGAAUCAUCGAAUCUUUGAACGCACAUUGCGGCCAUAGGUAUUCCUUUGGCCAUGCCUGUUCGAGCGUCAUUUACACCCUCAAGCCUAGCUUGGUGUUGGGCGUCUGUCCCGCCGUUUUCGCGCGCGGACUCGCCUCAAAGUCAUUGGCGGCGGUCGUGCCGGCCCCCUCGCGCAGCACAUUUGCGCUUCUCGGAGGCCCGGCGGAUCCGCGCUCCAGCAAGACCUUUCACGACUUGACCUCGGAUCAGGUAGGGAUACCCGCUGAACUUAAGCAUAUCAAUAAGCGGAGA